GCUGCGACCUAACACACCCGGAUCGCGACAACAACAGGAGUCCUGUGCAAUGCCCGGGGUGACCAAAAAGCCCUCGAGGUAGCCACAGUCCGGACCCUAGUGACAAAUGGUGACAUGUAUCUAUAUCCGGGUCGGCGGAGGGCUCAUUUCAUCUGGCCUGGGGGAAAAUGAAUCUUAAUUUGUUUACACAGACGUAAACACAGCCCAAAACGCAUCAGCCCGAAGACUCAAAAGCCUGCAACGCCUGGGAAAAGCAAUUUGGUUAACAGGGGGAAGCGAACAGACGGAGACGGUUGGAGACCCAGAAGUUUGGAAAGAGCCUUUAUGUGCCAAGAAUUCUGCAGUUAUCACCACGUGGAUAGGACCCAAGGCCUCUGGCCCUCAGCUGUGUUGAAUAAGCCAGUUUGGAAGCUGAAGCAGAUCCUCCAGCCUUCAGUCAAAUUGUCCCAGCUGAUGUUGUAUACAACAGAGAUGAACCUUCCCACUGAGCCCUGCCCAACUGAAAUCUGUGGGACAAAAAAAAAUGAUGUUUGACAUUAACAUGCCUUCAAAGAAAGAGAUUUUAAGUGCCAUUUUGAUCAUGGAGGUUAACUGAUUCUGUGUUAGUUUUUGAGCAAGAUGCUAGGAGUUGAAAUUGUAACUGUCCAGUGAGUUUUUCUGGCCUGCUGCCCAGACAGAGCCAAUUUAUCAAGAUAGGGGAAUUGCAUUAGAGAAAGUUUAAUACACGCACAGCCAGCUAAAUGGGAGGCCAGAGUUGUAUGACUCAAAUCAGUCUCCUUGAAAAUUUGGAGACCAGGGUUUUUUAAGGAUAAUUUGCUGGGCAGGGGUCUAGGGAGUGGCAACACUGGUGGAGUUGGGGAUGAAAUCACAGGGAGUCUAAGCAGUUUCCUUCUGCUGUCUUCUGUUCCUGGGUGGGAUUGCAGAACUGGUUGAGCCAGAUUACCCAUCUGUAUAGUGCCAGCUGCUCCAUCAGAAUGCAGGUUCUAAAAAUAUCUCAAACACCAAUCUUAGGUUUUACAAUAGUGAUGUUAUCCCUAAGAGCAAUUGGGGAGGUUAUGAAUCUUGUAGCCUCUGGCUGCAAGACCCCUAAACUGUAAUUUCUAAUCUGUGGCUAAUUUGUUAGUUCUACAAAAGUAGUCCCAUUUCCAGGCAAGGAGGGGGUUUGUUUCAGGAAAGAGCUGUUAUUAUUUUUGUUUCAAAUUAAACUAUAAACUAAAUCCCUCUUAUGGUUAGCUCGGCCUAUGCCCAGGAAUGAACAAGGGCAGUUUGGAGUUAAAAGACAAGAUGAGAUGGUUAGGUCAGAUCUCUUUCACUGUCGUCAUUUUCUCACUGUCAUAAUUUUUGCAAGAUGGUUUCAAAAUAAGAAUCCUAGACUAUGCUUACCCAACACUUCUUUCCCUUAUCUUACCUCCUUGUCCUCCCAGAAGCAGGAAUGGCUAUCUUAAUACACAAAUCUGACCAUGUCUUCCCCUACUUAGCUGGUUUCCUUGCUGCUCUUGGCACAGAGUCUACCCCUUCUGUACCAUGAGUUCCCUCCCUCUUGCCCCUUCAUCCUCACUGAAAAUUGCCCUCCCACACUUCCCCCACCCCUUUUUCAGUCACUCUUUUCCAACAGUCAGGUACAACCUUAAAUGUCUCUCUGUUAUUUCUAUUGAAUAUUCUCAUGACACUUAUUGUAACCAUAAUAAAUUAUUUACAUGUUUGACUGU